UACGUAGGGUGCGAGCGUUGUCCGGAAUUAUUGGGCGUAAAGAGCUCGUAGGCGGUGUGUCACGUCGUUCGUGAAAACCUGCAGCUUAACUGUGGGCGUGCGGUCGAUACGGGCAUCACUGGAGUUCGGCAGGGGAGACUGGAAUUCCUGGUGUAGCGGUGAAAUGCGCAGAUAUCAGGAAGAACACCGAUGGCGAAGGCAGCUCUCUGGGACGGUACUGACGCUGAGACGCGAAAGCGUGGGGAGCGAACAGG
rnacentral:rRNA from 1 species